rnacentral:rRNA from 1 species
AUUGAACGCUGGCGGCAGGCCUAACACAUGCAAGUCGCGCGGAGCGGCGGACGGGUGAGUAAUGGCUAGGAAUCUGCCUGGUCGUGGGGGAUAAAGUCCGGAAACGGGCGCUAAUACCGCAUAAUAGCAGAUGAGCCUUGGUCGGAUUAGAUAGUGGGUGGGGUAAAGGCCUACAAAGGCUACGAUCCGUAACUGGUCUUGGAGGAUGCUCAGUCACAUGGGAACUGAGAAAUGGUCCAGACUCCUACGGGUGGCAUCAGUGGGGAAUGGUGGACAAGGGGCGAAAGCCUGAUCCAGCCAUGCCGCGGGUGGGAAGAAGGUCUUCGGAUUGUAAAGCACUUUAAGUUGGGAGGCGUUACCUACAGAAUAAGCACCGGCUAACUUCGUGCCAGCAGCCGCGGUAAUUC